rnacentral:rRNA from 1 species
UGCGAACUGUGCGAACGUUAUUCGGAAUCACUGGGCUUACAGGGUGCGUAGGCGGCUUGUUAAGUAGGGUGUGAAAGCCCCCGGCUCAACCGGGGAAUUGCGCCCUAAACUGGCGAGCUGGAGUGAGAUAGGGGUGUGUGGAACUUCCGGUGGAGCGGUGAAAUGUGUUGAUAUCGGAAGGAACGCCGGUGGCGAAAGCGACACACUGGAUCUUGUCUGACGCUGAGGCACGAAAGCCAGGGGAGCGAACGGG